GUCCCCCCCAGGUACCUGUACCGGCUCUGCCCCUUCCAGCGCGUCACCCAGAGACCCAAAAACGGCGGCGCCGAGACCAGCCUGGGGCUCUGGGGCUCCUGGGCGGGGCCCGAAGGCGACAAAUUCGGGGCCCAGAAAUACGAGGGGGGGCACCGGCUGCUGGCAGGGCCCCGCCCGCGCCACCACGGUGCGCCUCAGGUGUGGCCGGGACACGGCGGGUGACGGCGGCCACGGAGCCGAGCCGCUGCGAGUACCUGCUGGAGCUGGAGACACCGGCGGCCUGCCGGGAGCCGCCGGCGGGGCACGAGGAGCACGACGAGCUCUGAGCCCAAAAUGAUCCGAAAUCAUCCCAAAAAUAUCCCCAAAAUAUCCCAAAAUUAUCCCAAAAUAUCCCGAAAUUAUCCCAAAAAUAUCCCAAAACGAUCCCCAAAACCCUGCCGGGAGCCGCCGGCGGGGGCACGAGGAGCACGACGAGCUCUGAGCCCAAAAUUAUCCAAAAUCAUCCCAAAAUAUCCCGAAAUUAUCCCAAAAUGAUCCCCAAAACCCUGCCGGGAGCCGCCGGCGGGGCACGAGGAGCACGACGAGCUCUGAGCCCCAAAUAUCCCAAAAUAUCCCAAAUUAUCCCAAAAUUAUCCCAAAACCCUGCCAGGAGCAGCCAGUGGGGCACGAGGAGCACGACGAGCUCUGACCCCAAAAAUUAUCCAAAAUUACCCCAAAAUAGCCCCAAAAUAUCCCCAAAAUAUCCCAAAUUAUCCCAAAAAUAGCCCAAAAUUAUCCCAAAACCCUGCCGGGAGCCGCCGGCGGGGCACGAGGAGCACGACGAGCUCUGAGCCCCAAAAAUUAAUCCAAAAUCAUCCCAAAAAUAUCCUGAAAUUAUCCCAAAAUUAUCCCAAAAUUAUCCCAAAACCCUGCCGGGAGCCGCCGGCGGGGCACGAGGAGCACGACGAGCUCUGAGCCCCAAAAAUUAUCCAAAAUCAUCCCAAAAAUAUCCCAAAUUAUCCCCAGAAUAUCCCCAAAAAUUAUCCCAAAACCCUGCCGGGAGCCGCCGGCGGGGCACGAGGAGCACGACGAGCUCUGAGCCCCAAAACUGCCCCAAAUCACCCCCCAAAAUAGCCAAAAAAUAUCCCAAAAAUAGCCCCAAAAUAUCCCAAAAAUAUCCCCAAAUAUCCUAAAAAUAGCCCCAAAAUAACCCAAAUAUCCCUAAAAUAUCCCCAAAAUAUCCCCAAAAUAGCCCCAAAAUAGCCCUAAAAAUAUCCCAAAAGGAUCCCUGAAAAUCCAAAAUUAUCCCCAAAAUCCCCCCAAAAAAAACCCCAAAAAUCCCCGAAAAUCCCCAAAAACUGCCCCAGAGGAACAUUCCAACCCCCCCAAAACCCAAAAUUCCCCCCCCAAAACCCCAAAUCCCUCCUGAAAAAAAACUCCCAAAUCCUC